rnacentral:rRNA from 1 species
AUUGAACGCUGGCGGCAGGCCUAACACAUGCAAGUCGAACGAGUGGCAGACGGGUGAGUAAUGUCUGGGAAACAGCCUGAUGGAGGGGGAUAACUAAUGGAAACGGUAGCUAAUACCGCAUACCAUCAGAUGUGCCCAGAUGGGAUUAGCUUGUUGGGGGGGUAACGGCUCACCAAGGCGACGGUCCCUAGCUGGUCUGAGAGGAUUACCCGCCACAAUGGAACUGAGGCACGGUCCAUACUCCUACGGGGGGCAGGAGGGGGGAAUAUUGCAGAAAUGGCGCAAGCCUGAGCCAGCCAUGGCGCGUGUAGGAAGAAGGCCUUCAGGUUCGAAAGUACUUUCAGCGAGGAGGCGUUACCCGCAGAAGAAGCACCGGCUAACUCCGUUCCAGCAGCCGCGGUAAUAC